CCCCUUUGGGCACCUGACUGUGCGGACGCACCGCAUAAUGACCCAGCGAACGCUAACCCCUCUGACCCGCACGUGUACGCACCGACAUCCUGGACAGCUUGGAUGUAAAUGCCCCCGGGGGAGGGCUUGAGUCCGCCACACUCCGGAGCACAAGGUCACUCCCGGAGUUUUUAUGAGCAGCGCGCCUGGCCCUGCAGUGUAAGGUAAGGCCAAAGAAGAAGAAACGGCAAUAAAAAGAUGUGAUGCAAGAAUCCAAGGGCACAGUCUCGAAGGAGAGAACGUGAAAGAAGAAGAGUCCCAAGCGGUGGCAAAGAGGAAAAGGAAGGAGUCAACACCGAUUAACGCAACCCUAACCGCGCUCAGGUGGCGAAACCAACGCUUUCCCCAACGCUGCCUUCACCACCGGCGCUCAAGACCAACGGUACUCCCGCCAAUACCCAGCGCAGACCGCAAAUUAAGAACAAACUUUCCCGGAUGCGGUCCACUUAUUAGUUGAGACUACUUUGAGGUCGCUGCAGUGGUUUUUGUACGUGUGGCGUUUCUCCGGUUGGAACUAAGAGCGGCGAAGCGGGGCGAUGCUGGAGAAACGCGCUGGCGGAGGCGUGGCCCUGCUGCUGUGUGGUCCACGCGGUCGGCCCGGCGGACGGCCCAGCGGUCGGCCCUGCGGACCCAGCCUCGCCCUUCGUCAACACUGCUCCGGCAUGUUCUACCCCCCCCCCCCUCCCCCCAAUGUUCUUUCCCAGAAAAUGACUCACAAUGAUGUGCCGGCGGCAAGCCAAGGACCGCCCCCUCCCCCCCCCCAAAGAAAAUUAAAAAAAUAAGAGGGGGGCAGGCAGGCAAUCAGUGAGAAGGUCCUAGGACGAGAUACAAAUUCUCACAAAAAAAAAAAACGAUGAGUCAGCAAAAUGAAUUCCAAACUGCCGCACUUUUUCGCAAGAACGGGAGGAUGAUGCAAUCAGGAGAAAUGGAAGAGGUGUGGAGGAGAGGAGUGCCUAGAGGCACGGAGGAAUAUCAAUAUCAACACCCCCCCCCUUCCCCCCCAGCUGAUGGAAAUACUCAUACUGGGAAGAAGAAAAAGGAAAUUGGAGACAAAAAAGACUUCUGGUUGGGGUUGGGGUUGGGGGAAGGGGGGGAGACGGUGACAGACACACAGGCCCUCCCUCUUUAUUACAACAGUGAUUGGCUCUGGGCCUGUGACUCUACCCCAUCCCCCAUCCCCCACCCUGCGCGAGCCCGCUCUUCGUCCGGAUUAGGCCGAUUAAUCCGGCCUUCCUCCUCGACAGGUGCAGCGUCACGCUCAGAUGAGAAUGCAAGACGCCCGUCCAGCCCGGGAGGAGGAGGAGGAGGAGGAGGAGGAACGCGGUCAUGCUGUAGCUCAAGAGCAACAAGCCACCGCUCACUGCAGGGAAGCUGCACCAUCUGGUGGGGUCUGAACCGGACCGUACCGAUGGGAGCGUGGGGGGCUUCAUGUUUUCCAAAAAUGUUUGGAGCCACAAAUGACUCCCCCUUUUUUUUUAAACUGACCACUGCGCCACGGAGAGAAAGGUCUUCCGAUUGGUUCAAACAGGUCAUGUGAUGGGACGCCUGUGAGGCUGUUUAAGCCUAACGUCCCAUCUGGACUGGAAUGUUCUGUCCGCUUCCGCUACCUGUUGCUCUAUAUUUCACAAGAGCUGUUUCUGACAGCGACACUGAAAGCCUGAUUCCAUUUUUAAAAAAAUGAUCUUUCCCUACUUCUGCGUGGUAUAAUGGUUAGAGACCUGGGCUAGUAAUCUAAAGGUAGCAGGUUUGUUGUACUUUGUACCCUUGAGGUACUUAACUUGAAGUGCUUCAGUACAUAUCCAGCUGUAUGAAAGGAUACUAUGUAAAAUGCAAGAAGUUGUAUACGUCUCUCUGGAUAAGAGCGUCUGCUAAAUGCUUGUAAUAUAAUGCUAGCACAGCUUUGGAAAUGGAUAUCCGAUAUGUCUGUGGUCCUUAACUUUGACUGAAAAAUAAAUGAAA